rnacentral:rRNA from 1 species
UACGUAGGGGGCAAGCGUUGUCCGGAUGUAUUGGGCGUAAAGAGCGUGUAGGCGGCCAACACAGGUCCGUUGUGAAAACUGGAGGCUCAACCUCCAGACGUCGACGGAAACCGUGUGGCUAGAGUCCGGAAGAGGAGAGUGGAAUUCCUGGUGUAGCGGUGAAAUGCGCAGAUAUCAGGAAGAACACCAAUGGCGAAGGCAGCUCUCUGGGACGGUACUGACGCUGAGACGCGAAAGCGUGGGGAGCGAACAGG